AACCGGAUUAGAUACCCUGGUAGUCCACGCCCUAAACGAUGCCAACUAGGUGUUGGGGAAGGAGACUUCCUUAGUACCGUAGCUAACGCGUGAAGUUGGCCGCCUGGGGAGUACGGUCGCAAGAUUAAAACUCAAAGGAAUUGACGGGGACCCGCACAAGCGGUGGAUGAUGUGGAUUAAUUCGAUGCAACGCGAAAAACCUUACCUACCCUUGACAUGCCAGGAACCCUGCUGAGAGGUGGGGGUGCUCGAAAGAGAGCCUGGACACAGGUGCUGCAUGGCUGUCGUCAGCUCGUGUCGUGAGAUGUUGGGUUAAGUCCCGCAACGAGCGCAACCCUUGUCAUUAGUUGCCAUCAUUUAGUUGGGCACUCUAAUGAGACUGCCGGUGACAAACCGGAGGAAGGUGGGGAUGACGUCAAGUCCUCAUGGCCCUUAUGGGUAGGGCUUCACACGUCAUACAAUGGUCGGUACAGAGGGUUGCCAAGCCGCGAGGUGGAGCCAAUCCCAGAAAGCCGAUCGUAGUCCGGAUCGGAGUCUGCAACUCGACUCCGUGAAGUCGGAAUCGCUAGUAAUCGUGGAUCAGCAUGCCACGGUGAAUACGUUCCCGGGUCUUGUACACACCGCCCGUCACACCAUGGGAGUGGGUUUCACCAGAAGUAGGUAGCCUAACCGCAAGGGGGGCGCUUACCACGGUGGGAUUCAUGACUGGGGUGAAGUCGUAACAAGGUACC
rnacentral:rRNA from 1 species